rnacentral:rRNA from 1 species
UGACGUGAGUAACGACAAAACGGGUGAAAAACCCGUUCGCCGAAAGACCAAGGGUUCCAGUCCAACGUUAAUCGGGGCUGGGUGAGUCGACCCCUAAGGCGAGGCCGAAAGGCGUAGUCGAUGGGAAAAUGGUUAAUAUUCCAUUACUUCUGUGUAAUGCGAUGAGAGGACGGAGAAGGCUAAAUCAGCCUGGCGUUGGUUGUCCAGGUGAAAGGAUGUAGGCAUGUAUCUUAGGCAAAUCCGGGGUACUCUAUGCUGAGAUCUGAUAGCAAGCUGUACUUGUACAGCGAAGUGGUUGAUGCCAUGCUUCCAGGAAAAGUCUCUAAGCUUCAGUUACACAGGAAUCGUACCCGAAACCGACACAGGUGGUCAGGUCGAGUAGACCAAGGCGCUUGAGAGAACUCUGCUGAAGGAACUAGGCAAAAUGGUACCGUAACUUCGGGAGAAGGUACGCUGUUGUUGGUGAUGGAACUCGCUUCCUGAGCUGACGACAGCCGCAGAAACCAGGCCGCUGCAACUGUUUAUUAAAAACAUAGCACUCUGCAAACACGAAAGUGGACGUAUAGGGUGUGAUGCCUGCCCGGUGCUGGAAGGUUAAUUGAUGGGGUUAGCGUAAGCGAAGCUCUUGAUCGAAGCCCCAGUAAACGGCGGCCGUAACUAUAACGGUCCUAAGGUAGCGAAAUUCCUUGUCGGGUAAGUUCCGACCUGCACGAAUGGCAUAAUGAUGGCGGCGCUGUCUCCAGCAGAGGCUCAGUGAAAUCGAAAUCGCUGUGAAGAUGCAGUGUACCCGCGGCUAGACGGAAAGACCCCGUGAACCUUUACUGCAGCUUGACACUGAACUUUGACCUUACUUGUGUAGGAUAGGUGGGAGGCUUUGAAGCUGGAACGCUAGUUCCAGUGGAGCCGUCCUUGAAAUACCACCCUGGUAAUGUUGAGGUUCUAACUCUGUCCCGUGAUCCGGGACGAGGACCGUGUCUGGUGGGUAGUUUGACUGGGGCGGUCUCCUCCUAAAGAGUAACGGAGGAGUACGAAGGUGCGCUCAGCGUGGUCGGAAAUCACGCGUAGAGUAUAAAGGCAAAAGCGCGCUUAACUGCGAGACCCACAAGUCGAGCAGGUACGAAAGUAGGUCUUAGUGAUCCGGUGGUUCUGUAUGGAAGGGCCAUCGCUCAACGGAUAAAAGGUACUCUGGGGAUAACAGGCUGAUACCGCCCAAGAGUUCAUAUCGACGGCGGUGUUUGGCACCUCGAUGUCGGCUCAUCUCAUCCUGGGGCUGAAGCAGGUCCCAAGGGUAUGGCUGUUCGCCAUUUAAAGAGGUACGCGAGCUGGGUUUAGAACGUCGUGAGACAGUUCGGUCCCUAUCUACCGUGGGCGCUGGAAAUUUGAGAGGAUCUGCUCCUAGUACGAGAGGACCAGAGUGGACGAACCUCUGGUGUACCGGUUGUGACGCCAGUCGCAUCGCCGGGUAGCUAUGUUCGGAAGGGAUAACCGCUGAAAGCAUCUAAGCGGGAAGCCUACCUCAAGAUAAGAUUUCCCUAGGACUUUAUGUCCUCUAAAGAGCCGUUCGAGACUAGGACGUUGAUAGGUUGGAUGUGGAAGCAUAGUGAUAUGUGAAGCUGACCAAUACUAAUUGCUCGUGAGGCUUGACUA